rnacentral:sRNA from 20 species
CCGGGUUACCGCGGCCUGUCCACGAUGGAAGGUCAUUUGAUUCUCGCUGAUUUUCAGGAGCUAUUUACUAUGCGUA